rnacentral:rRNA from 1 species
UGCGUAGGCGGCUUUUUAAGUCGGAUGUGAAAUCCCUGAGCUUAACUUAGGAAUUGCAUUCGAUACUGGGAAGCUAGAGUAUGGGAGAGGAUGGUAGAAUUCCAGGUGUAGCGGUGAAAUGCGUAGAGAUCUGGAGGAAUACCGAUGGCGAAGGCAGCCAUCUGGCCUAAUACUGACACUGAGGUACGAAAGCAGUGGGAGCAAACA